AGGGCACUAAAUGGAUGCCUAGACGUAUAUUACCGAUGAAGGACGUGGAAGACUGCGAUAAGCUUCGGGUAGCUGUCAACAAGCUUUGAUCCGGAGAUUUCCGAAUGGGGAAACCCAGCAUGAGUCAUGUCAUGUUGCCACUUGCUGAACACAUAGGCAAGCGAGCGGGAACCAUCUGAACUGAAACAUCUUAGUAGGAUGAGGAAGAGAAAGUAAAUAACGAUUGCGAAAGUAGUGGCGAGCGAAAUCGCAACAGCCCAAACCUUUUAAGUUUUUGCCUAUUAAUUUAGGCAAAUAAGUUGAUAGACGAAUACUUAUAAGGGGUUGUGAUAUUACAUAUGACCAAGUCAGAGAAUUUGAUUCAUUCAAAUAAUCUGAUUUGCGAUAACUGGCUAUCAACAGUUAGUAAGGUAAGAAAUCGGCGUGGUUAGUAGAAUAGUUUGAAUGACUAGCCAAAGAACGUGAAAGCCGUGUAUAUGAAAACGACGCUGACCUUAUGUAUGUUUUAUCGAGUAGGACGGGGCACGAGAAACCCUGUUUGAAUCUGGCUGGACCACCAGCCAAGGCUAAAUAUAAUAUACGAUCGAUAGUGAACUAGUACAGUGAUGGAAAGGUGAAAAGAACCCCGGGAGGGGAGUGAAAUAGAUCCUGAAAUUUAGUGCCUACAAGGAGUCGGAGCCGGCUUGUCCGGUGACGGCGUGCUUUUUGUAGAACGAUCCAGCGAGUUAAUUUUUACAGCGAGGUUAAGUCAAUUGACGGAGCCACAGUGAAAGCGAGCCUGAAUAGGGCGUUUAGUUGUAAGGAUUAGACCCGAAACCGGGUGACCUAACCAUGAGCAGGUUGAAGCCACUGUAACAGGUGGUGGAGGACCGAACCAGGAUACGCAGCAAAGUGUUUGGAUGACUUGUGGUUAGCGGUGAAAUGCCAAUCGAACUCGGAGAUAGCUGGUUCUCCUCGAAAUAGCUUUAGGGCUAGCGUCGUGUUAGUAGCACAUGGGGGUAGAGCUCUGUAAAGGACUGGGGCGGGCAACUGUACCCACCCUUAACAAACUACGAAUACCAUGUGUGUAAUCACGGCAGUUAGAACAUCGGUGCUAAGAUCGGUGCUCAAAAGGGAAACAGCCCAGACCAUCAUCUAAGGUCCCUAAAUUAACGUUCAGUGGGAAACAAGGUGAGAUUUCUUAAACAGCUAGGAUGUUGGCUUAGAAGCAGCCAUUCAUUUAAAGAGUGCGUAACAGCUCACUAGUCAAGAGAUCUUGCGUGGAAAAUGUAACGGGGCUAAACGUAAUACCGAAGACAUGGGUCUAUGCAUUAGCAUGGGCGGUAGAGGAGCGUUCCUAUCGGCAGUGAAGCAGCAUUGUAAAGUGCUGUGGAGCGGUAGGAAGUGAGAAUGCUGGAAUGAGUAACCAUAAGAGAGGUGAGAAUCCUCUCGGCCGUAAGAGCAAGGUUUCCUGAGCCAUGGUAAUCAUCUCAGGGUUAGUCGGGCCUAAGCCGAGGCGCAGAGCGUAGGCGAUGGACAUCAGGUUAAUAUUCCUGAACCGGUUAAGUUUUGUACACUGUUCACGGGGAAGUAAUCGAAGCGGAUUCAUGGUUUAUCCGUCCAACCGAGCGGGAACGCAAAGGGAGUGAAAGUGAUUCUUCGGAGUCGCGAUUUUGGUGAAAGCCCUGGCUAGAAAAGCAGGUGUACGCGUGGACUUAGCCGCCCGUACCGCAAACCAACACAGGUGCUCGAGUCGAGUAGACUCAGGCUUACGAGCGAACCUUCGCUAAGGAACUCGGCAAUACAGCGACCGUAACUUCGGGAUAAGGUCUGCCCCCACUUCGGUGGAUAUCAGCCGCGUUCACUCAGUGAAUAUUAGGUUAAAGAGUACAUUUUUAAUCACAAAACGAAUUUUCUGAGAUAGAGCAAACGAAUUGUUCUUUUGAACGCGAACCUCUGGCAUCUAACGAUGUGGGGGCCGCAGCAAAAGAGCCCACGGAACUGUUUAUCAAAAACACAGGUCUCUGCUAACACGAAAGUGGAUGUAUAGGGGCUGACUCCUGCCCAGUGCUGGAAGGUUAAGGGGAGUGCUUUACGGUGCGAACUGAAGCCCCAGUGAACGGCGGCGGUAACUAUAACCGUCCUAAGGUAGCGAAAUUCCUUGUCAGGUAAGUUCUGACCCGCACGAAUGGAGUAAUCAUGUGGGCACUGUCUCAGCGAAGGACUCGGUGAAAGUGCAUUGGCGGUAAAGAUGCCGUCUGUCCGUACCAGGACGAAAAGACCCCAUGGAGCUUUACUACAGCUUUACAUUGAAUACGGUUUCAACAUGUGUAGCAUAGGUGGGAGACGUUGAAGCAGAUACGCCAGUAUUUGUGGAGUCACCAAGUGAAAUACCACCCUUGUUGUGAUUGUGUUCUCACGCUGACCGUUAUCCGGUUAGCGGACCGUGUAUGGUGGGUAGUUUAACUGGGGCGGUUGCCUCCUAAAGAGUAGCGGAGGCGUUCA
rnacentral:rRNA from 1 species